rnacentral:rRNA from 1 species
AGCAGCCGCGGUAAUUCCAGCUCCAAUAGCGUAUAUUAAAGUUGUUGCAGUUAAAAAGCUCGUAGUUGAAUUUCGGGAUCAAUACGUCGGUCGUGCUUUCGGGUACGUACUGGCGUCAUUGGUUUCUCCUUUCUGACGAACCAUGAUGUCAUUAAUUUGGUAUUAUGGGGAGUUAGGACUGUUACUUUGAAAAAUUAGAGUGUUUAAAGCAGGCAUUAGCUUGAAUACAUUAGCAUGGAAUAAUGAAAUAGGACGUUCGAUCCUAUUUUGUUAGUUUUUAGGAUCAACGUAAUGAUUAAUAGGGAUAGUUGGGGGCAUUAGUAUUCAAUUGUCAGGGGUGAAAUUCUUGGAUUUAUUGAAGAC